UCACACAGAAUAUUGCCCAGCCUACGUUG
rnacentral:piRNA from 1 species